rnacentral:lncRNA from 1 species
CGAUCUCCAAGAAGAAGAUGAAGAAGGAAAGACUGAAGCAAGGUGUUUCAGCACCCGGAGAGUAGAUGUUAAUACACUGGAGGACAAGAACGUGUCUGAAUUCAUGUCCAUCAGCUCUAAAAUCAGAUGAUUGUAAUUCUUAAGGUUACAUUUUCUUGUCAAAACAGAUAGAACAUCAAAAACUGCUUUUGCUGCCUUUUAUUGUGCUACUGACUGAGAAAUUUUCAUAGAAGCUACUGAUUUUCUUUUUUUCCUUCUAGAAUAAAAAAAUAAAAAAUAAAUUAAAAAAUAGAUAUGAAAAAGGCUUAUGACAGGGUCUCGUGGUUAUAUUUGAUGAAAGUCCUAAGGAAAAUAGGUUUUUCAGAGGUGCUUUGAUGAUAUAAUUUUGAGGAUCAUAGCUAAUAAUUGGUAUUCUGUGUUGGUGAAUGGCCAGAGUACGUACUUACUAUGUUCACUUAUACUUGAUUACUAUUUCAAAAAUGAUUUUUUAAUUUUACUGGUAAAAAAUAAAGCUAUCUAUAGGUAUAUUUCUAUCCUAGCUGCAAAAUCAAUUUUUUUAUUUUACGUAAGUGAAUAUUUUACUUCCUAUAUUCUUUGUUCUAUAUAUCUUAUGAAUCUUCUUCCGAGUGCACAAUGAGAAUAUAUAUUAUUGUAAUGAUAGCAAAGCAUUAAAGUAGUAAACUCAAGAAGAUAAAAAUAACUAAUAUGAUAAACAUUUUUUGUCUAAUCAAUCAUUUACUAAACAACCAUGCUUUUAGUCGCAAGCUCGGUGCUAAAGUGUUUAGCAACUCAUAUUCUAAUCAAACUUGCAACCUGCAAGAAUUAAUAUUGCUCAUGCAAAAUUAAAUAAUAGAAAAGUAAGAACUCUAACGAUCUAGUCUUCUCCACGUCUUAUAGCUAGCCAAAAAGUGAUCAACCCUUAAAGAGUCAUCCAAGGGUUCUUUUAUAGUAGUGUAAAAGUGUCUUUCUCGCGUCGCAAACCUCUUUAUUCGCUGCCAUUAAUUCCUUUUACUUUCAUGAUUCUUUAAUUUUCUUUUUUAGUACUAUUUAGGGUCGAUUCUUGUUGCAUUUCAAGCUGAAUAUAUCUUAUCACCUUUAUUAACUUGCCCACAUCAAUUAUGAUCAAAAUGCAUGAAUAUACGCUAGUUAAUUCUCAAAAUUUAAGUUAAAACACGAGUAAAAUUUGGGUUCCCAAAAUGAGUCAACUCCAUCAAUGGAGGUUUUCAUAAUUUUCAAGAACUAUUGCUAUUAAGAGUAAAAUGGAAGAAAAUAGUUAAUUUUUGGCUUGAAUUUUAAAUGACAAAUAAUUUGAGGUAGUUAUUUUUAAAUAUCACAAUAAAUAAUUUGAAAUCGUGGGAGCCUAAUGAGAGGGGGACGCAUGCGUGUAGGGGGAGGGGGGGACAAGAGAAAUAUUUAUUUCGUUUUUAUCUUGAAAAAGAUGUAGGGACGAUACUCCGUACUUGUAGUUUAUUUAAUUUUUUGAAAAAUGAAUUGAGAGAAGCUGAGUAGCCUCAAAUUAAAUUUAUUUUGACCCUCUUUAGAUCUAUAACUUUAAGUAGUGUUUGGGAGUUAAUUGGAGGAUAUGUGAAGAGAGGAGUAGUAAUUCAACUUAGUGUUCUGUUUUUUGUCUAGGCUAGUAUUUGGCCCUAUAAAUUCUUAAAUAUUCUUGGAAAAUUAUUUAUGGGUGAAAUUUCACCAUGCAUUUAGACGUUUGGUCAUAAAAAAUAUUUGACUAUUUUAAGAAAUAUGAUUUAUACCCAUAAGUUCUAAAAAUUAUUUAAAAUAUCUUUAAGUUUGUAUUAUCAUUUUAUAAUAAACAUGUUCCGUUAAAAAAUAACCUUAUAGUAUAAUUUAUAACGAUUAACAACAACAGAAUAACAAUAUGGGAAAGAACAAUACAUUAAUCGCAUGAUCAAAUUUAUCACCGAUUCAGAAUGAAUUGUAACACAUUCAAAACAAAUUGUUCUUUUUUCUCAAUCUUGUUAUUAGUUAUUAAUGGAGUAAUUUGGUAGAUAAAUAUUAGUUGAAAUUAAUAAAUGAUGGGUGUUUUUUAUAAAAAUAUAAAAUUUGCAAUAAUUUUUAAAUUUUUUACAAAUUCCAAAUUAUAACUUGGCUCAAAUACUAUUUUUUCACGUAUUUGAGAAUUUGGGAUAUUCAGCAAAUAUAUUCGUCAAAUAAUAAUAAAUUGUAUGACCAAUUACCAAACACUAUUUUCCAAAAUUUUCCCGAAUAUAUUUGUGAAUUGUGAUCAAAGGUGUCAUAUUUGCCAUGUUCUUGUUCAACAAGUAUACCAGCAACGUAAGAGUCAGUUCACUAUUGAUGUCCAGUAAUCUACAUAGAAAUUUAGUCAUUCUCAUCAUCUCUAUUCUCGUCAUUCUUUUAGAUUACUCCCUCCGCCUAAUAAUAGUUGUCUAUUAAACUAAAAAUAGUUAUCUAUUAAUAUUGGUCCAAUUUAAAAAAUCAAAAGAUCAUUUAUCUUUUAUGACUAGCUUAAUCUUGUUAUUAAAUACUAUUAUUUAUCAUCUAACACAUUUUUUAAAACAUUAAAUUUAAUAAAGUCAGAAUAAUAUAGUAAAAUUACAUCUAUUAUUUAUUAUUUCUUAAGGGGUGUGUCAAAUCAAUAGUAAACGACUACUGUUGGAUAAAGAAAAUACCAAUUACCAUGCGGUUACUGUUAAUGUUUUUUUAUUUUUUCUAUUAAUCCCCUCAUUACAUUAGAUGUGAAGUUUUAAAAUAUAAGAACACUUAUAUUUAUAUAAUCUUUAUUAAAGUCAUUUUAGUGACUACUUUUAUUUAAGUUUCUUUCGCAACAGAGUAUUACUCCUUUGGAUCAUUGUUACCCAUUAUAUUGUAUUGUAUCGUUAUUAUACAUACAAUGUUUGUUUUGAUUGUUACUUAAAAUGUAUUGUAUUGUGUUGUUACAUUUUGUUGUUACGUAACAAUGAAAACCCCUAUUUUAUGGAACAACCGAUUUGGUGUGUUCUCAUUGUUACUUAAUUUAGUUUUCCAAUUAUAUCUCUACAUAAUAUUUCAAAAUAUUAUUUUACCCUUUACCUUAUAUUAUUUAAUUCUAGUCAAACCUCCUACCCUAGAAUAAUUAAGGAUAUUUUAGUAAAUUUAUAAACUACAAUACAGUACGAUACAAUCAAACCAAACAAUUAAAAUGUUAUUAAACAACAAACAAUAUAGUCUAGCCAAACAUUGUAUCUACCAUACAAUAGAAUACAAUACAUUAUGAAACAAUGGGUAACAAUGAUGUAUCUAUCAUACAGUACAGUACAAUAGAGUACAAUACAAUAAAUACAUUAUGAAACAAUAGGUAACAAUGAUCCAAACAGAGUGUUAGUCUCAAUUUAUGUUACACAUUUUAUUUUUUGAAAGUCAAACAGUUUAAAUUCUACAAGCAAUUAAUGCAUUAAAUCUUUGUUUUUUUUUAAAUAAAAUUUAUAUAUUUGUAAACUAUAUAAAAACAUUAUAUAUCACAAUAAUUAACAGUUCAAAAUAUUUAAAAGAUAUAUAAAAAAAAUUACAGUCAAAGAUAAACUUAUCUGAAUUUCAAAAUCUGAACUGAAUUACAUCAAUUUAACGGACGGAGUAAGAAAUUAGGGAACACUUGAAGCGGGAUCGUACUUUUAAGGAUAAAAACAAGGAAAAUUAAGGGAACAUAUAGGGUUUGUUUGGUAGAAAUUUCUUACGUAUUUAAUAAGUUGAACAAAUGCACAAAAUUAAAGAGGCAAAAGGCAAAUAACACCAUUUAAACGGAUCAUUUUAGUGCAAUAAUAAUAAACCAACGAUGAUAAAAACUAAAUUUACAUAUAGACUAUGCAAAUUGGAUAAAAACAAACUUCAACAAACACAAAUUUUCAAAAGAAAAGCAACAAUAUUCAUAAUACUAGCUAGCUAAUACUCAACAACCACACAUCCUCAAGACAAGAUCUAUCUGACUAUCAUAGCAAAUGUUGUAGUCCAUGAAAGAGUGAUCAUUUUCAAGUUGUUUUCCAGCAUAGAUUAACCUCUGUUUAUGAAAUCGGAUACCCUCUUUUUCCUGAAUGGCAGCCUUAAUAUCUGCAAUCGUGUCAUCACACUCAACCAUUAACUUAAACUUGCGACCCGACAGCCUCCUCACAGUGAAUUGUGUUAUUGGUGCAUAUCGAAGGAUUAAGGUAGAACCUUUGGUGAUUCCAGCAGAAACAAGAGUCUGAGCAUCUCUCACAACUCCUCCAUCUUCAUUCAACAAUUUUUGUUUCUUAAAAGGAAUACCCUUUUCCUCUUGAAUAUGUUGGACAAAUGAUAAUCACAUCCAAAAUAAUGUCCAAACUAAAUAGCAAUAGGAAGAGAGUAACGACGACACCAAAUAUUAAAAUGGGUAAAUAUGAUACCCGAAUAAGUAAUACAAUAAUAUUGAUGAAAAAACUUGAUAGUGUCAAAAAACUACUACUCACCACUCUUUUAUUUCUUACAACUCACAAUUAUAUUACUUUCACACUAUUUUCUCACAAACUAAGAAGUAGUUUGUGGAUUCUCUUUCUACUCUCUAUUGCUUCUCUAUUUUUGGUGUGUUCUUACAAAUGAGCAUAAGUGCUCUAUUUAUAAGAAAAAAUCUGUCUAUUUGAUGUCACUAAUGACAUCAAUGGAAACUAACAAUUCAAACUUAUAGGUAAACAAUUUUGACAUAAAUGUGGAAGCUAAUUUUCACAAAGUUUGGCUGUCAAAUUCUACCAAACUUUGACUACCAAAACUCUACCAAACUUUAACAAAUGUGGCUAUCAACUUUCACAUUUGUGACUUGCCAAUUUUCACAUUUGUGGCAAGUAAUUUCAACAAAUUAAAUGUGGCUGCCAAAUCAGUUGUUGUUUUAUUCCCACAAAUCUCUCCCUUAAUUUUGAUUUUUCUUCUUUAUUCCAAGGCUUGAUCUCAAUCUCUGAAAAAUUUUAAACUUGAGAGGUUUUGUAAAGAUAUCCGCAACUUGAUCAUGAGAUUUCACAUACUUGAGUUCUACCUCUUUCUUGGCAAUGCAUUCUCGGAUAAAGUGAUACCUUGUGUCUAUGUUCUUGCUUCGAUCAUGAUACACUGGAUUCUUGGCAAGUGCUUGCGCAAAUUUGUUAUCAACACAAAUCAUUGUGGCUUCAAUUUGCGGCAAAUUGAGUUCCUUCAACAAUCUCCUCAACCAAAUAGCAUGACACGUACAUGAUGUCGAUGCCACGUAUUCAGCUUCACAAGUUGAGAGAGUAACAAUUGAUUGUUUCUUUGAACUCCAAGAAAUAACAUAAUCCACCCAACAAAAACAUAAAACCCGAUGUGCUUUCUCUAUCAUUAACAUUUCCCGCAUAAUCACUAUCACAAUAUCCCACAAGAUUAAAAUCAUCAUAAGAAGAAUAAAAUAGUCCAAGGUCGAUCGUACCUUUUAGGUAACGUAAAAUUCUUCUAGCGACCUUCAAGUGAUUGGAGGUGGGAGCUUCCAUGAAGCGACUUACUACUCCAACCGCAAAGAGUAUAUCUGGCUCGUACAUGUCAAGUACCUUAGACUUCCUACGAGACUUUUGAACAAAGUAGAAUCCACUUUUUCUCCAUCUUCAAACUUUGACAAUUUUGUUCCACUUUCGAUUGGGGUGUUCACAUGGUUGUAAUCAAACAUGUUGAACUUCUUCAAAAUCUCCUUUGUAUAGCUAUCUUGAGUUAUGAAUAUGCCUUCUUCCAUUUGCUUCACUUCUAGGCCCAAGUAAUAUGAUAUGAGCCCUAUGUCCGUCAUCUUAAACUUAAGGGACAUAGCUUUCUUGAAAGCUUCAAAUAAAACUGGGUUGUUGCCCGUUAGAAUGAGAUCAUCAACAUAAAGACAAACAAGUAGAAUAUCUCCAUUAGUAUGAACUUUAAUGUAAAGAGUGUAUUCAUGGAGACAACGAGUAAACCCAUUGUCUUGAAAGUAUUUGUCAAUGCGACUAUUUUAAGCUCGUGGAGCUUGCUUCAACCCAUAUAAGGCUUUAUUCAAUCUCAAUACCUUAUCUUUAUGAUUUUUAACCACAAAGCCCAAUGGUUUCUCAACAUAAACUUCUUCUUUAAGAUAUCCAUUCAAGAAUGCUGAUUUGACAUCUAGUUGAUGGAUUUUCCACUUCAUUUGUGCCGCCAAAGAGAUCAAUAAACGGAUCGUCUCCAUGCGGGCAACAAGCACAUAGACUUCCUCAUAGUCGAUGACAUGCCUUUGUUUGUAUCCUUUAGCCACAAGUCUUGCCUUGUAUCUCUCUACUUCUCCAUGGGCAUUUUUCUUCCCCUUGUAUACCCAUUUGACUCCAAUUGCUUGAUGAUCCUUGGAAAGAUUUAUUAACUCCCAAGUGUUGUUCUUCUCUAUUGGCUGGAUCUCGUCCUACAUGGCUUGUCUCCACCUUUUGUCAGUAAUAGCUUCAUCAAAAUUCAUUGGUUCGCGAUCAGCAAAGAGACAACACAAAAAUCAAAAUUAGUAAUUUAUUCUAUGUCAUCAUAAAGUUCUUGGAUGAUUCUCAUCCUAUGCGGUCUUUCAGUGGAACUCUCUUGAGUAGACGGAAAUGCAACAUUUGUUGGUGAAGGAGGUGGGGUUGCAUCUUGUGCAGGUGCCAUGGUCUCCUGUUCUUCUUCAAAAUCAUAUGUUCUUUCUUCCAGAGUCUCCCAAUUCCAUGAUGCUUCUUCAUCAAAUUCAACAUCACGACUCACCACCACCUUGUUAUUGCUUGGAUUAUACAAUUUGUAGCCUUUUGAACUCGCAUCAUAGCCAACAAACACAUACUUGACACUACGAUCGUCAAGUUUAGCUCUCCCUUGAUGUGGAACAUGAGCAUAUGCUAUGCUCCCAAAGAUUCUCAGGUGCUUAACACUUGGCUUUCUUCCGCUCCAUGCUUCUUAAGGUGUUUGAUCUCGUACAUUUUUUGUUGGAGACCUGUUGCUCAAAUAAACUGCACAAGAAAUAGCCUCGGCCCAAAAUUAUUUUGGUAGAUGUUUAGAUUUUAACAUACAUCUAACCAUAUUAAGAAUUGUUCUAUUCUUUCUUUCUGCAACUCCAUUCUGUUGGGGAGAGUAAGGUACCAUUAGAGGGCGACAAAUUUCAUGAGAUUGACAAAAGUCAUUAAAUUCUUUUGAAGUGAAUUCGCCUCCUCUAUAGGACCUUAGUUCUUUUAUUUCAUAGCCACUUUCUUUUUCUACAAGUGCUUUGAAAAUUUUAAAGGCAACAAAAACUUCAGAUUUUUGCUUCAAGAAGUAUACCCAAGUCUUUCUAUUGAAAUCAUCAAUAAAGAGCAAGAAGUAUUUUCUUUUACCAAAAUAAGGUGGAUCGAUUGGACCACACACAUCGGUGUGUACAAGUUGAAGUGGCUUACUUGUUCUUGAUGUAGUCACCUUUGGAAAACUCCUCUUUGCAUGUUUUCCAAGAAGGCAAGCUUCACACAACUGAUACUGAUGGUUGAUUGACGGAAUCCCAUCAACCGUGUUCUUUUCUCCCAUUGAUUUGAGCGCUUCAAAGUUCAAGUGUCGAAAUCUCAUAUGCCAACACCAUGAGUCAUCUUGCACAUUGGCCUUCAAACACUUUGCAUCGAUGGUUUUAAGAUUCAAAGGAAACAACCUAUUCUUUGUCAUAUGAACUUUAGCAAUUAAGUUGUUACUUGAAUCUCUAAGCCAAAGAUGCAUAUUUUUUAUAUGAAUAUCAUAUCCUUUUUCAAGAAGUUCACCCAAACUCAAAAUAUUACUUUUCAAUUUUGGCACAUAAUAAACAUUGUUAAUCAAUUUAUGGCCACCAUCUUUACAGGAUAUCAUAAUCGUACCUAUCCCUUCAAUUUGGAUCUUUGAUGUAUAUCCAAAAGACACAUUACCUUUCACAGUCUUCUUUAUCUCCAUAAACUUAUCUUUGUGGCCACACAUAUGAUUGCUUACUCCAUUGUCAAGAUACCAUGAGCUGCAAUCAUCUAUACUUUCUUCUCUGAGUGCUAAUAACAAUGUUGACUCAUCUUCAUCUUUGUCGUUGUCAACAAUAUUAACUUUCUCUUCAACAUUACUAUGACAUUUCCAAGAGUAAUGUCCAAUUUUAUGACAAUUAUAACACUCAAUUUUAGAUUUGUCAUACCUCAAUUCAUUUGUACUUUGAUAGGCUCCACGUCCUCUACCUCCUCGUUGACCACGGCCACGACCUCUGAAUGACUAGAGACUCUUAUCUUCAUUUUUGAAUUUAUUGGUAUAACUUCUUCCUCUUCCACGGCCUCACCAUUGUCCAUUUCCUUUGUAACGUUUCUCACCUUCAAAUCCUUCGAAGGAUGUCUGAGUUUUAAGUAGUUGCUCUAGUGACUCUUCUUUUCUCCUUUUCAUUUUCUCUUUGUGGGCUAGUAAAGAACCUUCAAAUUGUUCUAUCGUCAUAGAGUCUAAAUCUUUAGACUCCUCAAUAGCACACACCACAUAAUCAAAUUUAGGUGUUAAAGAAUGAAGGAUCUUUUCUACCACACGCACAUCCCCGUAUCUUCUUAAUUGAUUUACAACAGCCAUUAAUCUUGAAUAGAAAUCUAAAAUGGAUUCAGAUUCUUUCAUUUUUAAAACUUCAAAGUCAGCCCUUAGAGUUUGAAGUUUUAUCUUCUUUACUUUAUCAACUCCUUGAAGAGAAUUUUGUAAAAUCUUCCAAGCUUCUUUUGAGGUGGUGGCAUCAGCCGCCUUCUCAAACAUGUCAUCAUCCAAACAUUGAUGAAUGAGAGUGAGGGCCUGUUGAUCUUUCUUUCUUGUCUUUAAUAAGAUCUCCUUUUCAUUUGAGGACAAAGUUUCCUCAUUAGCGGGUUUUGUAAACCCAUUGUCUACAAUAUGCCAAACAUCUUGAGAGCCAAGAAUGACUUUCAUUCAUAGACACCAUUUUCAUAAUUUUCUCUUGUGAGAUGGGGGUACUGAAAGGACAACGGACUAUUAUUUUCCAUGGCUCUGAUACCACGUUGUUGGACAAAUGAUAAUCACACCCAGAAUAAUGUCCAAACUAAAUACCAAUAGGAAGAGAGUAACAAUGACACCAAAUAUUAAAAUGGGUAAAUAUGAUACCCGAAUAAGUAAUACAAUAAUAUUGAUGAAAAACUUGGUAGUGUCAAAAGACUACUACUCACCACUCUUUUAUUUCUUACAACUCACAAUUAUAUUACUUUCACACUAUUUUCUCACAAACUACGAAGGAUUACUCUCUCUACUCUCUAUUGUUUCUCUAUUUUUGGUGUGUCCUUACAAAUGAGCAUAAGUGCUCUAUUUAUAAGAAAAAUUAUGUCCGUUUGAUGUCACUAAUGACAUCAAUGGAAACUAACAAUUCAAAUUUGUAGGUAAACAACUUUGACAUAAAUGUGGUAGCCAAUUUUCACAAAGUUUGGCUGCCAAACUCUACCAAAAUUCUACCAAACUUUGACUUCCAAAACUCUAUCAAACUUCCACAAAUGUGGCUACCAACUUUCACAUUUGUGGCUUGCCAAUUUUCACAUUUGUGGUAAGUAAUUUCAACAAAUGUGGUUGCCAAAUUAGUUGUUGUUUUAUUCCCACAGAAUAUACGCUUUAACUGCAGCUAUACUGUCAUUUGGUUCAACCAUUAAGAAAAAAAAUUAGAUUCUGAACCUCCAACUUCUUUGGGAACACCUCUACAGAGAAAUUGACAUGGUAUUGUGUUCCAAUUAAUCACGUCUUUCCAAGUGUCAUCUUGAAGAAUGAUCUCCGUUGUUCGAUCCCAUGACCAUGGAUCUAAAACAGUAAAACACAACAUAAGGACGUUUCCAUCAAAAUAAAUGAUACACUCAAAGCAAGAAGAGGAAUUCUGACACAGUUAAUUUUUUCUCUAGAAGUGCAAAACAAAUCACCUAAAAAUAGCUACAUAAAACUUAAUCAUAAUAAGUACUACUAAUCUAUAUAACAAAAGUAAACCUCUUUGAAACAACAUAUUAUAUUUAUAGUGAAAAAUCCUUUACAAUGUUCGAGCAAAUAAGCUAAAUUAUAGUAAUUAAACUAUUCUUUCGGAAUAGUGUAUGUAUAUAGAAGAGAGAGAGAGUAUACUCUUCUGCACAUCCUUUAUUUGUAUUUGAGCACUUAAUCUGCCUUUCUUCAUAGUCUCUCUUCAACUAUACCAAAUUGACUCAACCACAAACCCUACUUAUAGAAGGAAAGCUCACGAGAAGUUACUCUCGCCAUCUUUACUUGUUCACUAUUUUUUCUAUUCACUAAUAGUUGUUUAUUAUAAUCUCCAUCCAUUUUUAAUUGUCAUGAUUUUCUUUUUCAGAGUCAAACAAUAAAUAUUUUGAUUAACAUUUUAUAAUGUAUUUUUUUAUCAUAUUGAUACACAAAAAAUUGUAAUUUAUAGUACUUUUUGUGUAGUUUUUGAAUAUCUAAUUUUUUUGUUUAAAAUAUCAAAUUAAUGUAAUCUAAUUUCACUUUUAAAAUUAGUCAAAUUGACUUUCGAAAUAAGCAACAUGACAAUUAAAAGUGGACAUAGGGGGUAUUUACUUGGUACAUGGAUUAAAAAGACUGGGAUCGUUUGGUAGAGUGUAUUAGAAAAUAUAAUGCAUGCAUUAGCCUUGUGUAUUACUAGUACCUUGUUUGGUACUAUUUUCUAACCUAUGUAUAACUAAUGCUUACAUUAGUUAUACACUCUAUUGUGUAUUAAGGUAAGCAUUACUAAUACGAGAAAAGACAUAAAAGCACAACUGAAGUUGUUUCGAAUUUUCAAUAAGACACCUUAACUUUGAGGAUGUCCUAUCACCCCCACAAAAGUAUUGAAUAUUUUUGUAAAAGGACCAUUUUGACCCAAUUUUCUCAUUAUGUUUGUGAACACGCACAUGAUGCACGUGAAGGUCCAUUUUUAAUGCCAAAAACCAAUUAAAAGCUGCCACAUUUAAGUUAUUUUCUUUAUUAAUUAUUUACUCCAUUCAAAUUCAUCAUCUUCCCCAACAAAAGAGUCAUAGGUACUCUAUGAUGAACUGAUGAAAUCAACUCAAUAAGGUAGGAAUUCGUUUUAAUUUCCAAUCGAAAAACUAAUUUAAAGUUGUCCGAGGUUUCAUUUCUUCUAAAUUUCAUUUAGUUUUGAGAACCCAAAAAUCAAACCAAACUCUCAAAUCAGUUGUUUUUUCGAGAGGAUCAACAUCAAAGCUCGGGUUUUAUCAAUCCAUGGUUUGAAAACAAGCCUAAUCGCUAGCCACUCAAAAGAAAUGGCUCCAAAUACCACUACUAUGAUUGAAGAAAAUGAUGAGAGAAACUAAGAAAUGAAAAAUGGAGAACAAGAGUUUUCUUUUUUGAAAUGAUUUGGGUCGGGUCGGGUCGGAUUUGAAGAAAUUAAUUUAAAUUAAAAUUAAUAAAAAAAGUGAGCACCACGCGCCUGUUCACAGUAGAGAAAAUGGGUCAAAAUGGUCCUUUUACAAAGAUAUUCAAUACUUUUGUGGUGUAAUAGGACGUCCUCAAAGUUAAGGUGUCUUUAUGAAAAUUCGAAACAACUUCAGUUGUGCUUUUAUGUCGUUUCUCUUACUAAUACCAUGAAUUUAUAGGUAUUAGCAAUGCAAUGGUUUUAAUGAAUGCAUUAGCUCAAUUAAAGUCUCAUUUACAUUUUUUUUUAUCAUAAUUGUGGAGGUUUUUGUAAAUUAAUUUUUUUAUGCAAUGCAUGCUAUUUUUAAUGCAUCAAACCAAAAAAUGCAUAAAAAUAAUAUAUGUAUAAUUAAUGCAAGCAUAACUAAUACAUGCAUUGUUAAUACAAGUAUUACUAAUACACACUAUUUAAUAUUAUUCUUAUACACUCUACCAAACGACCCCUUAAAUGAUAGAUGUUAUUUUACCAAAUCACAUUUAUUAAAUAUUUCUUUUGUCAACUAUUAUCUUGACAUAGGAAAUAAGAAACAAUAAAUGAUAGAUCUAAUUUUACCAAAUCAUUCAUAUUAAAUACAAGUCAUUUAAACAUUAAAAAAUGAAUAGGUAUAUAAUAUCAAUGAUAAAAUAGACAUGACAUGAUAAAUUAUUCAUUAAUUUUAUAAAUUAGACAAGUAUUGUUGGACAUUCUAAAAUAGUAUAGUGGACAAAUAAAAAUAGACAGAGAGAGUAUAAGUCAUUUAAAUAUUGAAAAAUAAAUAAUAUUUAAUAGCAGUACUAAAAUAGACAUAACAUGGUAAACUAUUCAUUGGUUUUAUAAUUUGCUAGAAAUUCUAAAAUAAUACAAUAGACAAGUAAAGGUGGAUGAAAGAAAUAUAUUAUUUUUAGUAUGUUUAACGCAAUACUUGUCUAUUUUAUAAAAUCACUUAAUUAUUUCUACCUAUUUUACCCUUAUUACAAUACUUUCUUCAUUCGUUUUUACAUGUCGUCCUUAUUAAAAAUAGAUGUUCUUAAAUACUUGUCAUUUCACAAAAUCAAAUGCAUAAACGACAUUAUUCUUCAUACUCCCUCCAUCCAAUAAUAAUUGGCCACUAUACUAAAAAUAGUUGUCUAACAAUACUUGUCCAUUCUAAAAAAUCAAGAGAUAAUUUACCUUUUAUAUCUAUUUUACCCUUGUUGUUUCUAAAGGUUGGACCAAUCAAACCAUAUCAUAUCGAACCAUAGCGGGAGCGAGGAGCACAUAUUCUUUAUUACUGACUUUUCGUGGUUGAUCGCACCAACAGGAGUCGCUGUUUGUGAGUAGGAGAACAUUCUUUAUUGCAAGAUGUUCGUCCACCCGCCGCCUUCGGUCAACUCAAAUAAGAGGCCAGGAAGGACAUUGUUGAAGGCUCACUGAGUGCUUCUAGGUUAAAGGGAAGCACUAGACUCACUCCACAAGAACUCACUUUUCGGUUUGCUUCAAAUUUGGCAUUCAUUCCCCCUCCCUUUCCUGGAUUUCGCGUUAUUGUCUGCUAUGCUAGCCUAUGAUGGAUGAAGGCCUUUCAUUAAAUAUUGUUUAUUAACAAAUUUUCAAAACAUUAAAUUAAUAAAGUCAAAGGAUAAAAUAGUAAUAUUAUCCCUAUUAUUUAUUGUUUCUUAAAGGGAGUGUCAAGUCACUAGUGGAUUACUAUUGUUGGACAAAAGGAGUAUUUAUCUUUGAGAGUUAUUAGCCUUGAAAUUAUGUAUUUGACCAACAUAAAAAAAAAGUAGUUAAUUCAUGCUCAUUGAUCGAAUUAAUUAAUUUAUAUUAAUUAUUAAAAUUUAACUUUAAAAAAUACUAAAUAAGAAUAUAAUAAAAUUUCCUAAUUUUUUUAAAAACAUAAAAUCUAAAAGAACCAGUCAGGUUUUGUGAAGGACAGGAACAUUAUUGAAAAUGUGUUACUGGCACAGGAGAUCACAGCAGACAUUAGAAAGAGAGGAAAACCAUCAAAUGUGGUAAUAAAGCUAGAUAUGACAAAGGCAUAUGAUAGAGUCAAAUGGAGUUUCUUGGUAAAUGUAUUGGAAAAAAUGGGCUUUGAUGCUAGAGUUAGGGACAUGAUAUGGAGACUAAUUGCUAAUAAUUGGUACUCAAUUCUGAUAAAUGGACAAGCACAUGGCUUUUUCCAUUCAACUAGAGAAGUAAAGCAAGGAGAUCCACUCUCUCCAACAUUGUUUAUCUUAGUUGCUGAGGUACUGUCUAGAGCUUUAAACUCUCUAUUUGACAAUUCAGACUUUAAAGGUUUUAGGAUGCCAUAGUGGAGUGACAACAUUAAUCACUUUGCAUAUGCUGAUGAUACAAUCAUAUUUUUAUCUGCCGACUCUAAGUCUGUGAAAUUAGUUAUGAAUAUGCUUAAAGAAUAUGAAGUUCAAUUAGGGCAGAAGAUUAGCAAAGAAAAAAGUGCAUUUUGUGUCUAUCAUAAAACAGCUCUGGCUCAGAUUAAUACUGUGGAGGUGGAAAUUGGCUUCAAAAGGGAAAAAUUUCCAAUGAUGUAUAUAGGUUGUCCCAUUGGACAUGCAAAGAAGAGAAAGGUGCAUUUUACAUAAUUAUUGAAGAAAAUCAACCGUAGGCUACAAGCUUGGAAUGGAAAACUUAUUUCAUAUAGAGGCAAUGUUGUUUUAAUCAAUAAUGUAUUGAGUAGCAUUCUCAUUUAUAUAUUAUCUACCAUUAAUCCUCCAAAAUGUGUGAUUCUGGACAUGCAUAAAAUUUUUGCAAGAUUUUUGUGGAAUUUCAAACAAGUGGGGAGAAAUAAACAUUGGGUUGCCUGGAAUGACAUGUGUAAACCUAAGGAGGAAGGGGGCUUGGGAUUUAGAUCUUUAUUUGAUGUCUCCAAAGCACUUUUUGCUAAGCUGUGGUGGAUAUUUAGAACACAGAAGACACUAUGGACAAACUUCAUGUGGAACAAAUACUGCAAAAGAGAGACCCCAAUUGGUGGAAUAGAAAGGGGGAACUCGGACCUAGAUGAACAUGUUGGAGGCCAGAGAUAUGUUGAUCAAGAAAUCUAGUGGGAACCAAAGAUGGGGAAUUCUAGUGUAUGGUUUGACAGUUGGACUCAAUUGGGGGCUUUGCACUAUUAUCUGCCUAUCACUAAUGAGCAUGACAAUCAAUGGGAGGACAUUAAUCAACUUUUCUCAAAUGGGAGAUGGAAUGUAGAAAGGACACAACAAUUUUUUCCUGAAGAAGUGAGUAAACAUGUUCUUACUCAAAUAAAUUGUGAAGAAAAUUCUGAGGUAUGGGAUAAGCCCUGGUAGAUGUUGAAUAAAUCAGGAAAAUUUACUGUAGGGUCUACCUGGGAUAACAUCAAACAAAAAGGAGAUGUUCAACACUGUUUUCAGCAUAGUUGGAGUAGAGGGUUUUCUUUUAAGGUAUCCUUUUUCUUGUAGAGGCUUUGGAAGAAGAGGUUACCCACUGGGGAGGUUCUAAUAAGAAAUAUGAUUUGUGAUGAAAUGAUUUGUUAUUGCUGUGGAGAAGGAGUUCAAGAAACAAUAGACCAUCUUUUCAUGAACUGCCCUGAUUCUAAAGCAUUAUGGCUUUUUCUUUGCAGCAGGAACAUUAGUAGAUGGUCCAUUUAUCCACAUGAAAGAUAGUAUUUAUAAAUGGUGGCUGGAAAAUGGGUCACCAAGGUCAAACCUAUCUACAAGGUUGUUCCCAUGUUCAUUUUAUGGCACAUAUGAAAGAGAAGAAAUACAUUAAAACAUGGAGGGAAAUUAUCAGCAAUUAGCAUGAGGAUGGAAAUCUGUAGAAACUUGGUGUACAUGGCUCAAAGCUUAUAUCCUUGGUUACAUAAUCUCCCCUCAUCAUGGAUUGACCUAGUGCAAUUCCUAGAAGAAUAUGCACCAAGGAUUGAGUACAAGAUGGUUUACUGGAAGACUCCUAGCAGGGGAUAUAAGUGUAACACUGAUGGGGCUGCAAAAGGGAACCCUGGUCCUAGUUCGGGUGCUUUUUGUGUUAGAAAUGAAGAAGGAAACUUGAUGUAUGCUGAAGGGAGAAGGUUUGGGGAGAACUCCAACAUUGUGGCAGAAGUUUUAGCUUUCAAAAUGGGAUUAGUAUUGCAUUAAUCACCAUUAUCUUCCAUUGACAAUGGAGAUAAACUCUUUAGCCAUAAAGAACAUAUUAGAUGGAGGGUGGGAUACUCCAUGGUGCAUUACAGUAGAUAUCACAAAGAUAAUGAGUUUACUGGUGGAGUCAAACACAACUGUAUAACACACCUACAAGGAAGGCAACAAACUGACAGACUUUUUGCUAACCCUGUUUUCUAUUUUGCAAGUACAGAUCUCCUAACAUAUUCAUCAAUCCAAGAAAUACCAAGAGAAGCUAGAAGUAUAUUACAGUUGGACAAGAACCAGACCCCAAAUCUUAGAAUAAAAAAAUUCCAGGAUGGUAAUUUCAACAUUAGGGGGAGGGGAGCACAACAAGGAACAAAUAACAAUUAGCAAUGCAAUAAAUACAUAUUCGUUCUUGAAAUUGCAGAAUUUUCCAAUGGGUAUCCAAAUCAAAAAUCAAUCAUUGGGGAAAAGGGGAAAUUUUCACACUCAAGUCGAUAUGAAGCGAGAUUCACUUACUCGAUUAGUUAAUAAAUGGAUCUAUGGAUUCUUCUGGCUUAGACAGUGGUAUUAGCUCCAAGUUGAGCUCAACCUGUCAAGAAAGAGAAAAUAUAGUGAAGAUUACUACCUAAUCGCCUAAGGGUUCUGGAUAGAGAGGAGUUGGUCUCACCUUGGCUGUGCAAGACAUGACUGGUUGUGCUAGGAGUUGAAGAAGUCUUCAUUUGAUUGAUUUAUGGCAUUUGUGAGGGGUUUGAAUGCCUUUGUAAAACAAUCAAGACUCACUGGCACCUACGAAGUCAACUCUAGUAGACAGAAGGGAUUCAAAUCGUCGUCUUCCGCUGUCCGCCAUGGCUGUUUUGCUAGAUGAAGGUCUGAAGAAUGGCGGCUGGUCUUUCCAUUUUCUCUUAAUUUUUGGUCUUCUUUCCUUUUCUGUUUUAUUUGUUGUUUUUGUUUAAGUUAGUGGUGU